GAAGAGAGGAGGAAGGAAUAGGAUGAACUUAAAACAGCAUAAGAGCAACUCAGCAGCUGUUCAAUCUCUCUCUUUUGAUGACGUUACCACUUCUUCUCUCUUCCUCUCGACGACGCCGCUUCCACUCUUGGCGUUUGCACCUCUGUUCUCAAGAAAAUCUGCCGUGAAAAUGGUCUCGACAGAUGGCCUCAUCGCAAGUUUUUAGCUGGGAUGAGCAAUGAAGAAAUUAAGAAGGAUGCAGAUAGAGAAAGAAGAAAAGACAUCGCCGAGCUUUCAAAGGUUCAUACGCAAAGGUAUAAUGUCAGACAAUUUGCUUGGUUUGAUUUUCUGCAUUCAUGAUAAUUUGGAUUUAUUUAUUUCAGUUUUGAGGUUCAAGUUGGUGAUUUUUGUGGAUUCUUCUUGAUGAUGACUUGUGUGUUUUGUGAAUUUUGUAAAAUAAUAAUUCACCAUAAGCUGCGUUAUUAUCAAUCAAUUAUGUUGGAGGGAGAAUUAUUGAAGACAAUAUUAAAUGA